GCUUGGCCACAGCCCGCCGGGACUGAAAAGCAGCUCGGGGAGAAAAUUCAGGGCAGCACUGGCAGAGGCUGACCACGGCCUGCAACGGGCACGGUGACGGAGGACCCGGCCUCGCCUCUUGGCAGCAGCUGCUUCCCGAGGGCUCGGGGCGGCGUUGCUCCUGGGAGAGGCCCUCCCAGACUGGAAGAAGCUGACCUGCUCUGAGUCGGGAGUGCAGUCCUGGGAGGCCACAUGGAAACCUCAGUCUCUUCUGGGGAAAAUGAAUCUCAGAGAGAAGGAAGGACUGGCUGAUAUGUCUGAACCCGAGUUGUGUCUCCAGAGGUGCUGCAGAGGGACGAGGGCCUCCUGCACACCACGGCGCCUGCUGCACUUCAGGAGCUGUGAACGCCGCAGCCACCAGCAGCAGCUUCCCCAGAAGGUCUCAAAUCUGACCAAGCAGCUGUUGAACUUCCCUGGCCUGGCAUCUCCUGCCCUCUCCUGAAGGUGUCUGCUUCCUCCAGGACAGGAGGUGCCUCGGGGCUACCACUACUGCUCUGCUGGAUGACGCCAGAGAUCUGGGGAACACUGGUUCCCCAUUGUCUCUUCUGCUUUGAAGAACUGUUAGUGCUUCAAGUCUCAGCUUGGAAGUUCCUUCAGGAAGCUUUCCCUGAUCUCAUGAGGUCACAUAUCCUCUGCUGGGUCCGGUGCCCACUGUCCUCCUAGCGUGUCCUAUGUGUCUUGCAUCAUGGCACUCAUUACAUUGGAUCGCCUGUCUGUCCACUUGUCAUUGACUGCAGCAACGCCACCAUCAGUUCUGUGCCUGGCACAGAGUUGAUAUUUGUGACUCACAGGUGCAAGUCCUGGGCUAAUGAGUCCCAGAGGAGGCCAGAACUUCCAGAGUCAGAGGUUUGUGGAGCCCGACGAGCUCCUCUGCGGUGUCCCGGUUCCUGUGGUGAUUGGAUUGUCUGCUCUGAGUUGAAGCCUCUCCAGCGGUUGUCUUUUCCAGACUGUCAGCUCCUCAUGCCUGCUCUGCCUUGUCCACAAAACUCAGGCCUGUGUGCUGAUUCCUGACCACUUCUGGGAAUUACUGAAGAUGCCUGGAUGGAGGGUGUGUGAGGAUGAGAGGAAGGAUCCCAGCAUCUUUCUCUUAGAGGCCAGUAAGACAGGUGACACAUGUUCUCACAACCCAGAAAACCAGGGGAGCAUAGACAGCCAAGUCAGAAAGUCCUAUGGGGCUCAUGUCUGGUGUGGGAGGUACGGGCCUGAAACCAGAUUUCUCCCUUGUGCUACAGGCAGGCGAGGCGGCAGCCUGCAAGCAGGAGCCCCGGGCAGUCGCUCCAGCCAGGAGCCUGGUGCAGACAAUGGUUCAGCCAGUACCUGCAAUUUCCAGGAAAAUCAAUUUAGAUGACAAAAUCAAAAAGGUGGAAUUGGAGUGAAGAAAAUGGCCCAGAGCUGAGUGUCUUCAAAGGGAACUGGGGCUUUCAGGCAAGGAUUUCAUGUUUUAACAAUUAAAAUAUUUUAUUAGCACCUGUUUGCGGUAUACGAUGUUUACAUUCACCUUAGGGAGUAGAUACAUUUACUGGAUGUAUCUUAAUUCUCUUUGAGCUGCUUUCUGUCCCCUUACCUUUACUGCCCUUUUGUGCCUACAUCCCCUUCCCACAUUUUCAUUUUGUUUAAGUUCGUGUUUGUGACGCAUAGUGACUACAUUCACGGUGCGUGGUUGGUACGUGCACAUGACACAUCCUCAUUACAUCUGCGUCCCUCUGACCUCCUCCUUUCCCCUGCCCUCCAUUCUCUCGCUCCCCUCCCCGUUCAUAAAGGAUCUAUCUUCUCGUUGCCUUUUACCUUUCAUUUUGCUCUGUACUUUAUUUUUUAGUUUUUUGAGACAUGGUCUUGCUGUGUAGUUCAGGCUUGCCUGGAACUCACUAUAGAGCCUAAGCUGGCCUCGAACUUAGGGCGAUCCUUCUG
ensembl:lncRNA